CUUGUUCGUCUCUUUGAAAGCAUCAAUAAAAUUGGAAGGAUACAGAAAAUAUUAGAAUGGCCCAUGUGCAAGGAUGACACACACGAAUCAAGGAUUGUUUAUGUUGAC